UCAAUCCUAUGUGCAUCACUGAAUCCCAGCUUGACAGCUUUCUUGAUUGACAGCUUUCUCACUUCUUCCCUUCCUUCUCACGGCAGGCCAUGCCUUGGUCUCCAGUGUUCCCAGUGUGUCCCCGACAGACCCUCCCCUGCCUUUCUCCCCUUUACACCUUUGUGAUUGUAUCUGGGGAGGAGGUGGGAGGCAGACUUGGCCCUGGAAAGCAGGGAUCAAUGUAACUUGGAGAAUGCUUUGUGAACCACGGUUAUCAUCAGCUGUGGGCUGGCUGUCCUCAGACAUCCUCCCGGGAAACAAAACAAACAGGAAUCGAUUCCUCAACUCCUUCCCCCAAGGUCAGCGUUUCUUCUGCCAAGAGCUAAGAAAAGCGUUGUUUCCAGUGGCUUCUGCUGCUGGUUUGGUUUUGCAAUGUCAUCUUCUGACCUGUGAGGUCCUUGUGCAGUGUACGCCGGUGGAAGUGGCACCCGGUCCCUUUGAUGGAGCUCCAAGGUUUCCUGGAUUACAUGGGGACAGACAACCAAGGCUGGAAAGACAGAGUUCUUUCCAAAGCCAAGAAAUAUCAUCUGGAAGUGGGUGAUCUGGGGCUCAGACACACAAAAGCACUGGUACUAACCUUAAAAGGAAAAGGCUGGGCUCUACCAAAACCAUUGGGAGAAGAGACGAGUCCCAAGCUGGGCUGGCAAGAUGCUUGGUAGGCAAAGGUACCCCCCACCAAGCUUGAUGGCCUGAGUUCCAUCCUCAGGACCCACGUGAUGGAAGAACUGUCUUCUUUGAGUUGUCCUCUGACCUUCACAUGUGUGCUGUAGUGUGCACAUGUGUGUACACACAGACAGACAUACAAAAUAAGUACACAAAAAGUAAUAAAAUUAUCUAGAAACCUC
rnacentral:lncRNA from 1 species